GAAUACAAGGGAGAAGCUUUGAAAGGGCCAAGAGACUUUAUUUUAUUGUAGAGCUUUUUAUGUGUGUGGGGCUUUCAAUGGAGGAACCCUCGAGGAAUCAAUUUCAGCCUAGAAAAUUAGGUGGAGUUCAAAGCAACUCUUGAACAGAAUUUUCUCAAGGGAAUGAAAGAUCCAAAGCUUGAUGGAAAUCUAAA